AGCAGCCGCGGUAAUUCCAGCUCCAAUAGCGUAUAUUAAAGUUGUUGCAGUUAAAAAGCUCGUAGUUGAAUUUCGGGGUCUAUCCAUUGGUCGGGCUUUACGGUCCGUACUGGUGUGAUGGAUUCCUACCUUCUGAAUAACCGGCAUGCUAUUAAUUUGGUGCGCUGGGGAAGCAGGACUGUUACCUUGAAAAAAUUAGAGUGCUUAAAGCAGGCUAUUGCCUGAAUACAUUAGCAUGGAAUAAUGAAAUAGGACGGCAUGGUUCUAUUUUGUUGGUUUCUAGGAUCACCGUAAUGAUUAAUAGGGAUAGUUGGGGGCAUUAGUAUUCAAUUGUCAGAGGUGAAAUUCUUGGAUUUAUUGAAGACUAACUUCUGCGAAAGCAUUUGCCAAGGAUGUUUUCAUUAAUCAAGAACGAAAGUUAGGGGAUCGAAGACGAUCAGAUACCGUCGUAGUCUUAACCAUAAACUAUGCCGACUA
rnacentral:rRNA from 1 species